rnacentral:lncRNA from 1 species
UGAAUGAAUAACAAUUUUCUUUCUUUGCAGCUGUCAUUUUGAUGCCAUUUAAGGCGCAGAUCUAUGGGUGUACUACCUGACUAUUCUGACAUUUGUCGUCGUCGUCGUUAACGUUAUCCUCUACGUUGCUACUUGGAUCAAAAUUUACAAGGAGACUAAAGCACUUGCUAACGUUUUGGGACAUGAGGCUCAAGCUAUCAAAAGUAUCCACAACUCUGCCAGAAAUAUGUCGCUCUUCGUUUCUGUAUUUUUGAUACAAUGGUUUUCAUUGGCUGUGUAUUCUAUUACAGCUCUACUCGGACAUGUACCGGAAGUAAUAUUGUAUAUGGUUAUCUCCUUGAACAACCUUGGAGGAGUUUUAAAUGGACUGGUUUUCAUUAUUCUCAAACGUCGAAGAAGGAAAAGACCACACAAAGCAGAUUCCAUGGCAACAAUUACAACUAGCCAAUCAGUGUCGACCAUAUCCUCGAAGUUUUAACAAAAUAAAUUUGAGAGAUUGAACCCUGUUUGUUAGCUUACACCUUGAAAUAGCAUAUUGACACAUUUUAUAACAUUAUAAUUAAU